CUCAAAGAAACAUGCAGGAUUAAUACUUUGUGUCUUUCAAUCCAAUCAAGUUGACAGUAUUAACCAUCACACAGGCUAAAGCAAAACAUAUGAUCUAAACACUCUACAGCUCAGGAAACUCUGAACAAAAGUGACUAAGAAUUCUAUUUUAAAACUAACACCCUUCUUUACAAAUUGGCAGUGUAGCAGUCGUUUCUUUUUAAGGAGAACUGAGGACGCUAUAAGCAAGCAGAAGACCCAGCUCCUGGGAAAUACCCUCUGGGAUGCAACUUCACUCCUUUUUAGUGGAUUCCUUCCCAGCAGCAAGCAUUUAUGGACAUGGUACAACAUAAAGGCAGGGUGCUAGGGAAUGCAAGGCAAAGUGAGAAUGACCGAAGCUGGGAAGAAAAGACGUAUCCUCCAGAAAUACAUACAAAUUCCCCUAAUGCAAGUUCUUGGAGAGUUACAUUUCCAAGCACUUACUUCAGGUGGUUUCUUGCUGGAUUCAACCAGCGGG
rnacentral:lncRNA from 13 species